UCCCCAGUGGCUCAGAUGGUAAAGUGUCUGCCUGCAAUGCAGGAGACCCAGGUUCGAUCCCUGGGUCGGGAA
rnacentral:tRNA from 1 species